GGAAGCCCCUAGAGGUACUCUGGCGGCCGGGGGCGGGGGGUCGCGCUCGGACCCCCGCAGCAGGGCUCCAGCAGCGUUCUGCCACGCCCCCUGCGCCGGCCCGACCUCUCGGCCCGGCCGGGGGUCCCUGCGCUGACCCGGCAGGUCCACAGCCAGCAGGAGGCUCCUGGGUGCUCCCAGGCAUCACCCUCCGGAUGGGCCUGCGGGCACCUGCCCAGCCCCAGUGCAGACCAGUCGCGCCGGCAUCUUGCUCCAGAGCCAGUGGGGCUGGCGCUGCCCCUGCACCCUGGGGUCCCUGUCUGCCUGAGACCCCCAACAUGGAUGUGCAGAGUCCCGAAGCCCCCCGCAGUGACCUGCUGCAGGAUCUGGCAGAACAUCGAUUUCAGGAACUUGAACAACAUUUUCAAGCUCUGACUGAAACCUUAAACCUCAGAAAUAUCCUUUUCUAUCUCCACAUGGUGACACCUGAUGGUCCAAGGC